rnacentral:rRNA from 1 species
AUGAACGCUGGCGGCGUGCCUAAUACAUGCAAGUCGAGCGAACAGAUAAGGAGCUUGCUCCUUUGACGUUAGCGGCGGACGGGUGAGUAACACGUGGGUAACCUACCUAUAAGACUGGGAUAACUUCGGGAAACCGGAGCUAAUACCGGAUAACAUUUGGAACCGCAUGGUUCUAAAGUGAAAGAUGGUUUUGCUAUCACUUAUAGAUGGACCCGCGCCGUAUUAGCUAGUUGGUAAGGUAACGGCUUACCAAGGCGACGAUACGUAGCCGACCUGAGAGGGUGAUCGGCCACACUGGAACUGAGACACGGUCCAGACUCCUACGGGAGGCAGCAGUAGGGAAUCUUCCGCAAUGGGCGAAAGCCUGACGGAGCAACGCCGCGUGAGUGAUGAAGGGUUUCGGCUCGUAAAACUCUGUUAUUAGGGAAGAACAAAUGUGUAAGUAACUGUGCACGUCUUGACGGUACCUAAUCAGAAAGCCACGGCCAACUACGUG